AACCUGCCCUUCGANAGGGGGACAACAGUUAGAAAUGACUGCUAAUACCGCAUAAGCGCACAGGACCGCAUGGUCCGGUGUGAAAAACUCCGGUGGUACAGGAUGGACCCGCGUCUGAUUAGGUAGUUGGCGGGGUAACGGCCCACCAAGCCGACGAUCAGUAGCCGACCUGAGAGGGUGACCGGCCACAUUGGGACUGAGACACGGCCCAAACUCCUACGGAAGGCAGCAG
rnacentral:rRNA from 1 species